GAGAGUGUCGAAAGGAGCAAAUUGAAUCGUGUUAAGGUUUUAACGUCAAUGGUUCUCAAACUCCCCUCCUUGAGCCAUCACCUUAUCGUGGUGGAGGGGUUUGUAUGUCCCAAUGAUCCUAGGAGCUAAGUUGUCUGGGGCUUCACGCUACUUGUAGGGUGACCCAUGGCAAAUAGGUCCUAGGUGAGCGACCAGAGAAAGCAUGGCUCCAAAAACCCCUAUGAUGAAUACAAUAAAUGGAUAUAGGUUUCCCCUGCCUGGAUGCGGGUCACCAGGGCCCCCCUCUGGAGCGAGGCCUGGAGGUGGGGCCAACCAGUCUACAUGUGUUUUGUGGACUUGGAGAAGGCGUUUGCCCGUGUCCCUCGGGGAGUCCUGUGGGGGGUCCUUCAGGAGUAUGGGGUACCGAACCCCCUGAUACAGGCUGUUCGGCCAGUGUCAGAGUUUGGUCCGCAUUGAUGGCAAUAAGUUGGACUCGUUUCCGGUGAGGGUGGGACUCCGCCAAGGCUGCCUUUUGUCAUCGAUACUGUUAGUAACUUUUAUGGACAGAAUUUCUAGGUACAGCAGAGGCGUAGAGGGGGUGGCCUCAGUAUUGCAUUUCUGCUUUUUGCAGACGAUCUGGUUCUGUUGGCUUCAUCAAGCCGUGAUCUCCAACUCUCACUGGAGCGGUUCGCAGCCGAAUGUGAAGCGGCUGGGAUGAGAAUCAGCACCUCGAAAUCUGAGACUAUGGUCCUCAGUCGGAAAAGGGUGGAGUGCCCUCUCUAGGUCUUGCGUGAGUGGAGGAGUUCAAGUAUCUUGGGGUCUUGUUCACAAGUGAGGGAAGAAUGGAACGGGAGAUCGACAGGCAGAUCGGUACAGAGUCUCAGAAAAUGGAUGGAUAGACAAAAAAGGUGUGUGUUUGUGUGUGUGAGUCUAUGUGUGUGUGUGUGUGUGUGUGUGUGUGUGGUUUGUUUGGGCAUGUAUGAGGUUUCCUUGUGUCAGGAGAUGUGAGCUCACCUGGCGAUGCCCAUGCCGAUGUAGUGUGACAGAGGUAUGAUGGAGACAAUUGCUAUGCCGAACUUCACGUCAGAGCUGGCGUACUGGUUAUCGCUGUCAAUGUACCCGAUUAUCAGCGCAAUUAUGACGAGAGGGAGGAGGUCUGGCAGGAGAGUCACAGCUGGCUGACACGGACACAUCCUCUGGUGGCAAGAGAAGGAUGACACCUAAAGUGCGUGCGUUCAUCUUGGCUACGGGGAUGGUGAAGACCAGGAUCCAGGAAAAGAGGCAGACCAGAGAGUGGAUAAUCACCAGAGGAG